UAACUUGGCGGGCUUGACAUGCCGCGAGUAGGAAACCGAAAGGGGACCGACCGGUUCAGUCCGGAAGCGGAACAGGUGCUGCAUGGCUGUCGUCAGCUCGUGCCGUGAGGUGUUGGGUUCAGUCCCGCAACGAGCGCAACCCUCGCCCUCUGUUGCCACCGGGUCAUGCCGGGCACUCUGAGGGGACUGCCAACGACAAGUUGGAGGAAGGAGAGGAUGACGUCAAGUCAUCAUGGCCCUUAUGCCCAGGGCCACACACUUGCAACAAUGGCCGGUACAGACUGAAGCAAGACCGAGAGGUGGAGCAAAUCCGAGAAAGCCGGUCCCAGUUCUCAUUGAGGUCUGCACUCGACCUCAUGAAGUCGGAAUCGGCUGGUAAUCGCGUAUCACCACGACGCGGUGAAUACAUUCCCGGGCCUUGUACACACCGCCCGUCACACCAUCAAAGUCUGUUGUACCUGAAGUCGGUGCCCCAACCGGAAACUUCGGAGCCGCCCA
rnacentral:rRNA from 1 species